CCUUAGCACCACCACCCACCUUCUCUCAUGGCCAUGGCUACCCAAGCUUCCCUCUUCACCCCCACACUCUCCGGCGACCGUGUUACCGUCCCAUGGAAAUCAUCGUCUUCACUCUCCUUCACCACCCCAAAACUACCCAAAUCCUCCGUUGCGCCCAGGACCACUAUAAGGGCCAUGGCGGAGGAAGCACCGACAAAAGAAGCCCCUGUUGGCUUCACCCCGCCUGAAUUGGAUCCCAACACCCCUUCUCCCAUCUUCGGCGGCAGCACCGGAGGCUUGCUCCGCAAGGCCCAAGUGGAAGAGUUCUACGUCAUCACAUGGGACUCUCCCAAGGAACAAAUAUUUGAAAUGCCCACUGGUGGUGCCGCCAUAAUGAGGCAAGGUCCCAAUCUGCUCAAGUUGGCCAGGAAGGAGCAGUGCUUGGCGCUUGGAACAAGGCUGAGGUCCAAGUACAAGAUCAAGUACCAGUUUUACAGGGUGUUCCCCAAUGGCGAGGUGCAGUACUUGCACCCCAAGGAUGGGGUCUAUCCCGAGAAGGU
rnacentral:lncRNA from 1 species